rnacentral:rRNA from 1 species
AGUGAACGCUGGCGGUAGGCCUAACACAUGCAAGUCGAACGGCAGCACAGUAAGAGCUUGCUCUUACGGGUGGCGAGUGGCGGACGGGUGAGGAAUACAUCGGAAUCUACUUUUUCGUGGGGGAUAACGUAGGGAAACUUACGCUAAUACCGCAUACGACCUACGGGUGAAAGCAGGGGAUCUUCGGACCUUGCGCGAUUGAAUGAGCCGAUGUCGGAUUAGCUAGUUGGCGGGGUAAAGGCCCACCAAGGCGACGAUCCGUAGCUGGUCUGAGAGGAUGAUCAGCCACACUGGGACGGAGACACGGCCCGGACUACGACGGGAGGCAGCAGUUGGGAAUUUUGGAGAAUGGGCGCAAGCCUGAUCCAGCCAUGCCCCGUGCAGGAUGAAGGCUUUCGGGUUGUAAACUGCUUUUGUACGGAACGAAAAGCAGUCUUUUAAUACAGGAGGGUCAUGACGGUACCGUAAGAAUAAGCACCGGCUAACUACGUG